rnacentral:pre_miRNA from 1 species
GGUGUACUCCCUCCGUCUGAAAAUACUUGUUAUCAAAAUGAAUAAAAGGGGAUGUAUCUAGAUGUAUUUUAGUUCUAGAUACAUCUUUUUUUGUCCAUUUUGAUGACAAGUAUUUUCAAACGGAGGGAGUAACAU